rnacentral:rRNA from 1 species
GUUACUGCUAUCGGUGUUCGACUAAGCCAUGCAAGUCAUAUGUUCUUCGUGAACAUGGCAUACUGCUCAGUAACACGUGGAUAACCUGCCCUUGGGUCUGGGAUAACCCCGGGAAACUGGGGAUAACACCGGAUAACGCAUAUGUGCUGGAAUGCUUUAUGCGUAAAACGGAUUCGUCCGCCCAAGGAUGGGUCUGCGGCCUAUCAGGUAGUAGUGGGUGUAAUGUACCUACUAGCCAACAACGGGUACGGGUUGUGAGAGCAAGAGCCCGGAGAUGGAUUCUGAGACAUGAAUCCAGGCCCUACGGGGCGCAGCAGGCGCGAAAACUAUACAAUGCGGGAAACCGUGAUAAGGGAACACCGAGUGCCAGCAUCAUAUGCUGGCUGUCCAGAUGUGUAAAGUACAUCUGUUAGCAAGGGCCGGGCAAGACCGGUGCCAGCCGCCGCGGUAACACCGGCGGCCCGAGUGGUGACCGUUAUUAUUGGGUCUAAAGGGUCCGUAGCCGGUUUGGUCAGUCCUCCGGGAAAUCUGAUAGCUUAACUGUUAGGCUUUCGGGGGAUACUGCCAGGCUUGGAACCGGGAGAGGUAAGAGGUACUACAGGGGUAGGAGUGAAAUCUUGUAAUCCCUGUGAGACCACCUGUGGCGAAGGCGUCUUACCAGAACGGGUUCGACGGUGAGGGACGAAAGCUGGGGGCACGAACCGGAUUAGAUACCCGGGUAGUCCCAGCCGUAAACUAUGCUCGCUAGGUGUCAGGCAUGGCGCGACCGUGUCUGGUGCCGCAGGGAAGCCGUGAAGCGAGCCACCUGGGAAGUACGGUCGCAAGGCUGAAACUUAAAGGAAUUGGUGGGGGAGCACCACAACGGGUGGAGCUUGCGGUUUAAUUGGAUUCAACGCCGGAAAUCUUACCGGGACCGACAGCAAUAUGAAGGCCAGGCUGAAGACUUUGCCGGAUUAGCUGAGAGGUGGUGCAUGGCCGUCGUCAGUUCGUACUGUGAAGCAUCCUGUUAAGUCAGG